CACGUAGGGGGCGAGCGUUGUCCGGAUUUAUUGGGCGUAAAGAGCUCGUAGGCGGCUCAGUAAGUCGGGUGUGAAAACUCCAGGCUCAACCUGGAGACGCCACCUGAUACUGCUGUGGCUAGAGUCCGGUAGGGGAGCAUGGAAUUCCUGGUGUAGCGGUGAAAUGCGCAGAUAUCGGGAGGAACACCUAUGGCGAAGGCAGUUCUCUGGGACGGUACUGACGCUGAGACGCGAAAGCGUGGGGAGCGAACAGG
rnacentral:rRNA from 1 species